AGAGUUUGAUCAUGGCUCAGAUUGAACGCUGGCGGCAUGCCUUACACAUGCAAGUCGAACGGCAGCGCGGGGCAACCUGGCGGCGAGUGGCGAACGGGUGAGUAAUAUAUCGGAACGUGCCCUGGAGUGGGGGAUAACGCAGCGAAAGUUGCGCUAAUACCGCAUACGAUCUAAGGAUGAAAGCGGGGGAUUCGCAAGAACCUCGUGCUCCUGGAGCGGCCGAUAUCUGAUUAGCUAGUUGGUGGGGUAAAGGCCUACCAAGGCAUCGAUCAGUAGCUGGUCUGAGAGGACGACCAGCCACACUGGAACUGAGACACGGUCCAGACUCCUACGGGAGGCAGCAGUGGGGAAUUUUGGACAAUGGGCGCAAGCCUGAUCCAGCAAUGCCGCGUGAGUGAAGAAGGCCUUCGGGUUGUAAAGCUCUUUUGUCAGGGAAGAAACGGUAUGGGCUAAUAUCCCGUGCUAAUGACGGUACCUGAAGAAUAAGCACCGGCUAACUACGUGCCAGCAGCCGCGGUAAUACGUAGGGUGCAAGCGUUAAUCGGAAUUACUGGGCGUAAAGCGUGCGCAGGCGGUUUUGUAAGUCUGUCGUGAAAUCCCCGGGCUCAACCUGGGAAUUGCGAUGGAGACUGCAAGGCUAGAAUCUGGCAGAGGGGGGUAGAAUUCCACGUGUAGCAGUGAAAUGCGUAGAGAUGUGGAGGAACACCGAUGGCGAAGGCAGCCCCCUGGGUCAAGAUUGACGCUCAUGCACGAAAGCGUGGGGAGCAAACAGGAUUAGAUACCCUAGUAGUCC
rnacentral:rRNA from 1 species